rnacentral:rRNA from 1 species
UGAGUAACACGUAUCCAACCUGCCGUCUACUCUUGGACAGCCUUCUGAAAGGAAGAUUAAUACAAGAUGGCAUCAUGAGUCCGCAUGUUCACAUGAUUAAAGGUAUUCCGGUAGACGAUGGGGAUGCGUUCCAUUAGAUAGUAGGCGGGGUAACGGCCCACCUAGUCUUCGAUGGAUAGGGGUUCUGAGAGGAGGUCCCCCACAUUGGAACUGAGACACGGUCCAA